UACGGAGGGUGCGAGCGUUAAUCGGAAUUACUGGGCGUAAAGGGCGCGUAGGCGGCCAGCGCAAGUCAGUUGUGAAAUCUCCGGGCUUAACUCGGAACGGUCAACUGAUACUGCGCGGCUAGAGUGCGGAAGGGGCAACUGGAAUUCUCGGUGUAGCGGUGAAAUGCGUAGAUAUCGAGAGGAACACCUGCGGCGAAGGCGGGUUGCUGGGCCGACACUGACGCUGAUGCGCGAAAGCCAGGGGAGCGAACGGG
rnacentral:rRNA from 1 species